AGGGGAGCGUCGAGUAUGGGGUGAAGUCAGAGCGGAAGCACUGGUGGACUGUACUCGAGUGAGAAUGCCGGAAUGAGUAGCGAGAAUUAUGUGGGAAUCAUAAUGGCCGAAAAUCUAAGGUUUCUUGGGGAAGGUUCGUCCGCCCAAGGUAAGUCGGGAGCUAAGCUCAGGCCGAGAGGCGUAGGCGAUGCACAUACGGUAGAAAUUCCGUAACCACCGAAACUUAAACAGAGGGACACUUCGAAAUAGCGGAACCCGGGCGUUGGUUGACCCGGGCGUAAGGGAGCGAAAAUAGAGUAGCGAAGUCCGCGAUGUUCGGAGGCGAGAAAAGCUCUGAGGUAUGCUAAGGUGCCCGUACCGCAAACCGACACAGGUAGAUGAGGAGAGAAUCCUAAGGCCAACGGGAGAAGGGUUGUUAAGGAACUCGGCAAAUUGACCCCGUAACUUCGGAAGAAGGGGAGCCUCGAAAGAGGCCGCAGUGAAUAGGCCCAAGCAACUGUUUACCAAAAACACAGGUCUAUGCUAAAUCGAAAGAUGACGUAUAUGGGCUGACGCCUGCCCGGUGCCGGAAGGUUAAGAGGAGAUGUCAGGCAACGAAGCAUCGAAUUGAAGCCCCGGUAAACGGCGGCCGUAACUAUAACGGUCCUAAGGUAGCGAAAUUCCUUGUCGGGUAAGUUCCGACCCGCACGAAUGGUGUAACGAUCUGGGCACUGUCUCAACUACCCACCCGGCGAAAUUGUAGUACCGGUGAAGAUGCCGGUUACCUGCGGCAAGACGGAAAGACCCCAUGGAGCUUUACUGUAGCCUGAUAUUGGGUUUCGGAAAUCUAUGUACAGGAUAGGCGGGAGACUUGGAAACAUGAGCGUCAGCUUGUGUGGAGUCGAUGUUGGGAUACCGCCCUUAGGUUUCUGGAAUUCUAACCUGCGGCCGUGAAUCCGGUCGGGGGACAUUGUCAGGUGGGCAGUUUGACUGGGGCGGUCGCCUCCGAAAAGGUAACGGAGGCGCUCAAAGGUUAGCUCAGCACGGACGGAAACCGUGCCUCUGAGUGUAAACGCAAAAGCUAGCCUAACUGCGAGGGUGACGGCCCGAGCAGUAACGAAAGUUGGAGUUAGUGAUCCGGCGGUAUGUGAAUGGAAAUGCCGUCGCUCAACGGAUAAAAGCUACCCUGGGGAUAACAGGCUGAUCUCCCCCAAGAGUCCACAUCGACGGGGAGGUUUGGCACCUCGAUGUCGGCUCAUCACAUCCUGGGGCUGUAUUCGGUCCCAAGGGUUCGGCUGUUCGCCGAUUAAAGUGGUACGCGAGCUGGGUUCAGAACGUCGCGAGACAGUUCGGUCCCUAUCUGUCGUGGGCGCAGGAUAUUUGAGGAGCUCUGUCCUUAGUACGAGAGGACCGGGAUGGACGUACCUCUGGUGCACCAGUUGUCAUGCCAAUGGCACGGCUGGGCAGCUAUGUACGGAACGGAUAAACGCUGAAAGCAUCUAAGCGUGAAGCCGACUCCAAGAUUAGAUAUCCCAUCGUAUAACGAGUAAGACCCCUUGAAGACUACGAGGUUGAUAGGCUGCGUGUGUAAGUGCCGUGAGGCAUUGAGCUUGGCAGUACUAAUAGGUCGAGGGCUUGACCAC
rnacentral:rRNA from 1 species